AGACUUGAAAAGAUGAAAAGCAGAAGAAUAUGGCUACAGAGCCUGACAGGUCUACCUGGCUACCAAGCAGAACGGGUCAGCAUGGCCGCUUUGACUCCUGGAGACACUACACAUUUCAGGAUUCUCUAAAUGCUGUGCGAGGCAGGAGAAGAAAAGUACAAGGUCUUCCACUUGGAAAAAAGUUCCUGACACGCGCUUCCAAGAUCACCCCCAUAUAG
rnacentral:lncRNA from 13 species